CACCGCCCGUCACACCAUGGGAGUCAGUUGCUCCAGAAACGGCCGCGCCAACCGCAAGGAGGGCGACUACCACGGUGAGAUUCAUGACUGGGGUG
rnacentral:rRNA from 1 species